AAUAAAUUAAAGUAUCUAUUAAAAAUACUAUUAACAAUCAUAAUUAAUUAACAACAUUAGACGUCUAAUAAAAUCAAAAUCCAAUGUUCUUCCCCAAAACCAUCCAAAAUCAAUAUUGGUUCAAUUGAUCGUUUGUUGAUUGCGCACCUCUACGCUCACCGGAAUUUCAUAGCGGAUGAGACGCCGCUCUCGUCACGGUUGAGUUCUGUGAUGAUUUCUCUCCCCAUUCCGCUCUGAUGCGUUGGCCCCUGGGUUCAGGCUAGGGUUUCAGUGGACGACGAUGGGUGAGAAGCUAUCUCAUAAGCAGAAUCCCUAGUCUCAUUUGCAUAUUCUACUGAGCUUUCCACUUGAAACUGCUUCGUCGUCUGGCCGGCGGGAGAGCACCGACCGUGGGGAGUUUGUGUUGGGAUAAUUGCUUUAGUAAUUUCGUUUUUUCCUUCUCUCUGUAGUUGUUUCUUGCUUGCCCCUAUAGUUGAGAAAUUUGAAGGUAUAAUUGAUUUGUCGUUCUGUUUGUGUUGGGAUAAUUGCUUUAGUAAUUUCGUUUUUUCCUUCUCUCUGUAGUUGUUUCUUGCUUGCCCCUAUAGUUGAGAAAUUUGAAGGCAACUCGCAAAAUGUUUAAUGUUUCGAAUCUUGGGUAACAUGACAGUUCACAUGGCCGCAAUGAGUUAUGUGUAAACUACCCCAAAUUGAGAGUUGCAGGCAAAACGAGAAUCGAUACGGGUGAAAAUGGAAAGAGGUUGAUAGUGUACUGAUGAUGAAGCAGAAUCGAUGAUCAAGUAGGUCAAGCUCGCCCUCGUAAAGAGCGUCGGAGGGCCAUUAGUGUAUUCCAAAGAGUAACAUUUAUAAUGAGAGAGAGGUCACCUCUUAGUUCGGUGGAGCGGGUUUUAUUGUUAUCGAAGACUAUGGAAUCAAGGGAUUUUGUGCGUCCGGAUAAAGAGAGUGCUCUUUGGACAUGGUUGAUGAUGCCCACUGCAAAGUUGUGGUGAGGCUCAAAAUCCCGCCCCCGAUGAUGAUAUGGAAUCCCUAGCAUCUUUGCGCUGCUUCAUCAUCCGUCCAGCCCUUUCAAUCUUUUGGAAUGGCCAACUUCGUACGGAUGCCCUGAUUGGAUAUGUUACCUUUGACUAUGCACAACUCCUACUUGAUCUUUACGUUAAUGGAUUUUGCUUCUUUGGUUUGAUAUCUUAUGAAGUAUGAUGGUUUGAUACGCUUAACAUGUUGAAGGUACUCUGAGUUUUUGGAUGAUUAUCUAAACAGGAAUAUGAGUAAUCACUAGCUAACAAGAAAAUUUAAUAUAUGAUGUAUCAAGCAUGUCGCCAACAUAAAAGUCAAAGAUCUCAUUCUUUAAAAUUUAUGGUGAUCAAGUUUGAAUUAUUGUUAU